rnacentral:misc_RNA from 1 species
GAUGAAGAACGCAGCAAAAUGCGAUAAGUAAUGUGAAUUGCAGAAUUCAGUGAAUCAUCGAAUCUUUGAACGCACAUUGCGCCCGCUGGUAUUCCGGCGGGCAUGCCUGUUCGAGCGUCAUUUCAACCCUCAAGCCCCCGGGUUUGGUGUUGGGGAUCGGCUCUGCCCUUCUGGGCGGUGCCGCCCCCGAAAUACAUUGGCGGUCUCGCUGCUGCCUCCAUUGCGUAGUAGCUAACACCUCGCAACUGGAACGCGGCGCGGCCAUGCCGUAAAACCCCAACUUCUGAAUGUUGACCUCGGAUCAGGUAGGAAUACCCGCUGAACUUAAGCAUAUCAAUAAGCGGAGGA